rnacentral:rRNA from 1 species
AUUGAACGCUGGCGGCGUGCUUAACACAUGCAAGUCGAUCGGUAACGCGGGGGCAACCCUGGCGACGAGCGGCGGACGGGUGAGGAACGAUUGGGAAUCUGCCUAUCAGCGGGGGACAACUCGGGGAAACUCGAGCUAUUACAGCAUACGCACUACGGAGGAAAGCAGGGAACCGCAAGGCCUGGCACUGAUAGAUGAGCCCGAGCCGGAUUAGCUAGUUGGCGGGGUAACGGCCCACCAAGGCGACGAUCUGUAGCCGGUCCGAGAGGACGAUCAGCCACACUGGGACUGAGACACGGCCCAGACUCCUACGGGAGGCAGCAGUAGGGAAUAUUGGACAAUGGGGGAAACCCUGAUCCAGCGACGCCGCGUGGGUGAAGAAGGCCUGCGGGUUGUAAAGCCCUUUCGGUAGGGACGAAAGCUCUCGACCUAACACGUCGGGAGGUUGACUUAACCUACAAAGGAAGCACCGGCUAACUCUGUGCCAGCCGCCGCAGUAACAC